UAACUCAGUUGGUUAGAGUAACUGACUCAUAAUCAGUAAGUCGCGAGUUCGAGCCUCGCCA
rnacentral:tRNA from 1 species